rnacentral:lncRNA from 1 species
GUCUGUCAACCUACAUGGUCUGUUGGAAAGGCAUCACCCCAAGCCUCCACCACCAUUAAGCAGAAGCAGAGAAUGAAGAGGAUGUAGAAGCUCAAAAAGUUUCUCCAGAAGAUCAAAAAUGAGAGAGACGAACUCCAGGGAAUCCUAGCCAAUUACACUAACAAGGAUUUGAACAACAGAAUCAAAAUUAGGACAUUCAUGCUCAAGAUGUAACAUGACCAGGUGAUGACUGACCUGAAGAGAAUGCCCCAGGACAUCAGUGAGGCCUUAUACAAGUACAAGGAGUUGACUAAAAAAAAUCAAUUCUACUGUGUAAAUCUAACCAUCUCCAGCACAAAAAACAUCUCCUUCCACACAAAGUCAGGAUGUUGUGGAAGGAGAACAGACAGUUGCUAGAGGAGCAGAUUGCAUUAGAAGAAUGCUCCAAAGAAUUAAAGAGGCUGUGUAAAGAAGGCAGCCUGAAGACCAAUGACGUAUGUACCAAGCAGCAGCUGGUAGG